GAUCCUGGCUCAGGAUGAAAGCUAGCUACAGGCUUAACACAUGCAAGUCGAGGGGAAACGACAUCGAAAGCUUGCUUCCGAUGGGCGUCGACCGGCGCACGGGUGAGUAACGCGUAUCCAACCUGCCCACCACUUGGGGAUAACCUUGCGAAAGUAAGACUAAUACCCAAUGAUAUCUCUAGAAGACAUCUGAAAGAGAUUAAAGAUUUAUCGGUGAUGGAUGGGGAUGCGUCUGAUUAG
rnacentral:rRNA from 1 species